UAUAUAUAUAUAUACACACACACACACACACACAUAUAUAUAUAUAUUUCCCCUACAUAACAGUUUAUUUAAAAAUAUAUGUAAAGUUAUAGUUACAACUGGGCGGUCAACUAUUGUUUAUUUUGACGCGAUCUCCACGGUAACAGCAGCUUUUCUGGUUGGUGGAUGAGGUUCACGUGAUGCGUCGGUUGAAAUUUCUCCCACUGAAGGGUGAAGACGUCUGUCGGACAACCGCUGUUCUAGCUGCUGUGAGGAAAAAAUUGUCUGACACCACCCCAGACAGCAACAUAGUGUGGCCCAGAUCCGGCCCACAUCUGGUACAUGUGGUUUACACGCGGACCAGAUGUGGGCCAGAUCUGGCCCGACACUAUGUUGCUGUCAGGGACAAGACUAAUAGUCUGCUGGAAUAAGGAGAGAGCACUUGUGGGAAAUUAGGGGCUGCAGAGCUGUACUUCACUUCCUGAGGACAGUCCUAAAUAGGAUCACGUUCUCCCUCACACAUACAAACAUUCUGAUGUGUAAAUUUGUUUUAAGUAUUUUUUUUUAAUUUGCUCUAUAUUUGUUGAGAGUAAAAUUACAUUAUAAUAUCUUUACAUUUCAGUGCUAGAUUCAUUCAUAUAUUCAUGAGGUGGUAAUAAGAUAUGCUUUGAUUGUACUAAAUAAAAUAGCCUUCACACAGUUACACAAUUCUGAAUGUGGUUAUUAUUAUUAUUAUUAUUGGCUUGUGCAAUAUUGUUAAAUAAACUAAUUUUGAGAAUU